rnacentral:rRNA from 1 species
AACGAACGCUGGCGGCAUGCCUAACACAUGCCAGUCGAACGAGACCUUCGGGUCUAGUGGCGCACGGGUGCGUCACGCGAGGGAACCUGCCCUUAGGGUCGAAAUAACUCCCCGAAAGGGGUACUAAUACCGGAUAAUAUCUUCGGACCAAAGAUAUAUCGCCUUUGGUUGGGCCCGCGUUGGAUUAGAUAGUUGGUAGGGUAAAAGCCUACCAAGGCGACGAUCCAUAGCUGGUCUAGGAGGAGGAUCAGCCACCCUGGGAUUGGGACACGGCCCAGACUCCUACGGAGGCGGCAGUGGGGAAUAUUGGAAAAUGGGCGAAAGCCUGAUCCAGCACUGCCGCGUGAGUGAUGAAGGCCUGAGGGUUGUAAAGCUCUUUUACCCGGGAUGAUAAUGACAGUACCGGGAGAAUAAGCCCCGGCUAACUCCGUG